rnacentral:tmRNA from 1 species
GGGGGCGAAACGGCUUCGACGGGGAUGUGUAAGCUCUACGUUGCAUGCCGAGCUUCUGUCUGCUCGUAAAACCGAUGGAAAAAACUUAUAAUCGCCGACGAUUAUAACUACGCAGUAGCAGCUUAAUACCCUGCUCUGCCGUUCCCCCGGUCUUCGCCCGUAAGACCGGUACGGAGCGCCGACUCAACGGGCUGGUCUGGUGACGGUUGCCUGUCUGUCACUCGAUGAGAUUCACAGGAUAGCACCAGGAAAUCUAUGUUCCGACUGAGUUCCCGGCGCGAAAAUUAAAGUACGGAACUAAGCAUGUAGAUACGGGAGGGGAGCAUUUGCGGACGCGGGUUCGACUCCCGCCGCCUCCACCA